rnacentral:misc_RNA from 1 species
ACCUAAUGAGUGGAGAGGGAGAGCCGAGUAAGAAGCGACCAACACCAGUCCCACGCCGGCCGCCAUAACGGUCGGGUGUUGUUGCUGUCCUCCUACCCCUCUCGUACACCUCCCCCGGCCCCACACACACACAUUAGAUUCUUCCCCGGGACAAGCAUCAUGGCAAACUUCGGAGUCAAGUCGGCUGGAAUAGGAGGGGGAAGCGGUGGUGGUUUUACUUUUGGUGCUCAACCCCUAACAGGCACGAGCAACUCUAGUAGUGGUUUCAGCUUUGGACAGCCGCAGACAUCAUCAGCUGGACCCAUUACUAAAAGUUUCUUCUCAACUCCCACGAGCACAUCUCCAGCUGGAGGGUUCAGCUUUGGAAACUUUGGUACUGCAACCAGCACACCUGGUAUUCAGCCAAUUGCAGCUGCAACACCUACUCAAAGUGGUUUUAGCUUUGGUGUGACUCCUACAAGUGGUUCAAAUAUUACAUCAACAGCCUCUGCAGGUGGAUUCAAUUUUGGCACUACACCAACAGCUACAAGUUCGAGUGGGUUUGGCCUGGUUACCACUCAUUCAAGUUCAUCUACUGGCUUCACUCUUGGUGGUACAACUCUUGCUCCAGCUUCGUCUUCUGCUACUGGAUUUUCCUUGGGAGGAUUAGGUACUACACCAGCAUCAUCAUCUGGGUUUUCUUUAGGUGGUUUAGGUGGACCACUGGGUGUAUCAGCAUCCACUGGAUUUUCCCUUGGUGGUGGUGGUGUACAAACAACAAAAUCAGCAACAUUUGGCUUUGGUAGUCCCACUUACACUACUCUACAGCCCACUACAUCCCUAACGAGCACGGGUUUGAGUGGUGUAGGAAUUGGUCUAGGAGGCGCUCAGCCACCAUCUGCUAAUGCUGAUGCCAACAAUGCUGGGUCUAAAACUGAUGGAAAGUCAACAAGGGAUCAACAGAUGCCUCAAGAUUUAUUUGCCACCAUAGCCUUGUUUGAGUCACAACGCAAUGCAGAAAAUGCAGCCUCGGAGGAAAAUAUUCGUCAAACGGCAGCCCCAUUUCACAAAGUGGGGAAGAAAGCAGAAGAGAUCCAACAACUUUUAGCAGAGCUUGCUAGCGAGUAUUUACAGUUACAUGCAAGCGCUGUUAAUCUGAAAGCUGAAGUUAUGAAGGAAGCAGAGCACGUAGAAAUGGCUCGUCGGACUAAAGACACCCCAAUGGCUCUGCAAGGAGAAAAUAAAGCUCCUGAAGUUUUCUUCAUCAAUCUUGUUCGAUCCUUUGAAGCAGAGAUGAUUUACUGUCGCACUAAGAUUGAAGAGGUAUCUCAGUGCAUGCAGGCAGCUAAUAAUCCUUGUGAAACACCUGAAGAUAUAGCGGAAGUGCUGCAACGCGAGCAUGAAACUUUGAAAGAAGUGGCUGCAAAAGUUUAUUCCAAACAUGCACAGCUCUUUGAGCUCAGCCAGUAUCUCAACACGAAAGCCAUGCCCAAUGAGCAAGCAUUCUUCCGCCCUCACUCAAAAGAAGAUCACAAAACUCCUGCUUCGGCAGUUGUGCGGCCAGUUCUUGGAGGCAGCAGUAGUGGUCUUCAGGCCUUCCAGGAGCAGCAACAGAGGGCAAAGGCUGUUACACUUGGUGCUGCACCACCUACAAUGCCUCUUGCACAGACCACAACACCUUCAAUGUUUUACAGCAAUUCCAACUCCCCAAGUAUGUUCUCUACUGGAGGAACAUCCUUUGGUUCAAGUAAUUUUAGCCUUGGAGGUACUACAGGCAACACUUCAUUUAGCUCAAAACCUCUCUUUGGAAGUACUCCCUCGACCUUUGGGAACACAACAGCUUUCAACACCAAUGCUACAGGUAUCCAGCAGUCUACUAUGCCAUUCUCAAUCAGCUCACCUUUUAGCUCCAAACCUUUUGGCUCGUGAGUCCCCGGGGGUCAGAGGCACACGACUGAUGUACGCUUGAAGGGAUGAUCGGAAACAGGAGACGACGACAUAGAUGGGAGACGCAAGAGGCGACUCUAACACCGGUCUGAAGGUUUCAAAUACUAGUAUACUGUACAGUAUGCCUAAAUGACAAUUGAAAAUACAGAAUAAUUGCUGUGUCUUGAAAGUGUAUAAUUAUCCAUAAUAAACAAUUACCUUUUUA